rnacentral:rRNA from 1 species
GAUGAACGCUGGCGGCGUGCUUAACACAUGCAAGUCGAACGAUGAAGCCCAGCUUGCUGGGUGGAUUAGUGGCGAACGGGCGAGUAACACGUGAGUAACCUGCCCUUAACUCUGGGAUAAGCCUGGGAAACUGGGUCUAAUACCGGAUAGGAGCGUCCACCGCAUGGUGGGUGUUGGAAAGAUUUAUCGGUUUUGGAUGGACUCGCGGCCUAUCAGCUUGUUGGUGAGGUAAUGGCUCACCAAGGCGACGACGGGUAGCCGGCCUGAGAGGGUGACCGGCCACACUGGGACUGAGACACGGCCCAGACUCCUACGGGAGGCAGCAGUGGGGAAUAUUGCACCAUGGGCGCAAGCCUGAUGCAGCGACGCCGCGUGAGGGAUGACGGCCUUCGGGUUGUAAACCUCUUUCAGUAGGGAAGAAGCGAAAGUGACGGUACCUGCAGAAGAAGCACCGGCUAACUACGUG